AUUGAACGCUGGCGGCAGGCCUAACACAUGCAAGUCGAGCGAGCGGCGGACGGGUGAGUAAUGUAUGGGGACUGCCCGAUAGAGGGGGAUAACUACUGGAAACGGUAGCUAAUUCCGCAUACUAUCGGAUAACCCAUAUGGUGUUAGCUAGUAUGUGAGGUAAUGCUUCACCUAGGCGACGAUCCCUAGCUGGUCUGAGAGGAUGAUCAGCAACACUGGGACUGAGACACGGCCCAGACUCCUACGGAGGCAGCAGUGGGGAAUAUCGCACAAUGGGCGCAAGCUUGAUGCAGCCAUGCCGCGUGUAGGAAGAAGGCCCUAGUGUUGUAAAGGACUUUCAGUCGGGAGGCGUUACCGACAGAAGAAGCACCGGCUAACUCCGUGCCAGCAGCCGCGGUAAUUC
rnacentral:rRNA from 1 species